UUUGAGGCAAGGGUGAAGCAAAAAUUUGUGAGCAAAGUUAAGACAUAUUCCAAUCAACUUAUCCAAGCAUGGAGCAUUACAAAAUAUUGAGAACCCAUAAUUCAAGACAUCAUGCCAUAUGCAAAAUAGAUUAUUUGUUAAGUCAUGCAUUAACAUAUUAAGACCAAGCAUGUCAAGAAUCAAAAUCAAUUCUUUUCGAGUUAACUUUCCCUAUUUAAAUAUAAUCUUCCACUAAUUUCAUCCUUAAAGUGUGUUUCCAAGUGAUUAAAGCUUGACUUGAUUCUUCUUAUAUGCUUUCAUUUACUUUGUUAUUCAUUUUUUACUUUCUUAUGCUCUAUACUCUAUUUGCUCCCUAUCCGGUGGAGUUGGAAGGGGCACGAGGUACUACCACUAGCCUCCCUCUUGUGCCGUCCCUAAUAUGCCCUACACCGAAUAGUUGGGUCAAAUAGUGCCGGGUACUACCACUAG
rnacentral:lncRNA from 1 species